rnacentral:rRNA from 1 species
GACGAACGCUGGCGGCGUGCUUAACACAUGCAAGUCGAACGGAAAGGCCCUGCUUUUGUGGGGUGCUCGAGUGGCGAACGGGUGAGUAACACGUGAGUAACCUGCCCUUGACUUUGGGAUAACUUCAGGAAACUGGGGCUAAUACCGGAUAGGAGCUCCUGCUGCAUGGUGGGGGGUGGAAAGGUUCGGCGGUGGGGGAUGGACUCGCGGCUUAUCAGCUUGUUGGUGGGGUAGUGGCUUACCAAGGCUUUGACGGGUAGCCGGCCUGAGAGGGUGACCGGCCACAUUGGGACUGAGAUACGGCCCAGACUCCUACGGGAGGCAGCAGUGGGGAAUAUUGCACAAUGGGCGGAAGCCUGAUGAAGCAACGCCGCGUGCGGGAUGACGGCCUUCGGGUUGUAAACCGCUUUCGCCUGUGACGAAGCGUGAGUGACGGUAAUGGGUAAAGAAGCACCGGCUAACUACGUG